CAAUUCCUAAAUAGUCUCUGACUAUUUAGAUAGUUGUUAGUGGCAGACGGGUGAGUAAUGCGUAGGAAUCUACCUAGUAGUAUGGAAUAGCCAUUAGAAAUGAUGGGUAAUACUGUAUAAUCCCUGCGGGGGAAAGAUUUAUCGCUAUUAGAUGAGCCUACGUUAGAUUAGCUAGUUGGUAAGGUAAUGGCUUACCAAGGCUAUGAUCUAUAGCUGGUCUGAGAGGACGAUCAGCCACACUGGAACUGAGAUACGGUCCAGACUCCUACGGGAGGCAGCAGUGGGGAAUAUUGGACAAUGGGCGAAAGCCUGAUCCAGCUAUGCCGCGUGAGUGAAGAAGGCCUUCGGGUUGUAAAGCUCUUUCAAUAGGGAAGAUAAUGACGGUACCUAUA
rnacentral:rRNA from 1 species